rnacentral:lncRNA from 1 species
CAGACGAGAUCAUUCCACCUACUGUUGGAUCAUCCAAGAUAGUGUUGAUGAUGCCGCAGUAGGCUAGUUGAUUUGGUGCUCGGCGGCAAGCAACUCUCGCUAAUGUUGUUUCAACCUUGCAAGUGGUCGAUGAAGCACCCAAGGUACUCUUGCUGGAUGAGAUCCUCGAUCUCAUUCUUGAGAUGCUAAUAGUCUUUGGAUGAUGAAGGAUCAAUAGAUUUUGCAGAAUUUCUUUUAUCCUUUUUGGCAGCUUCCAUCAUAUUCUGAGACCAUUUCACAUAGCCUCGAUUCUCGAUCUCCAUCAAGAUCUACGUUCGGGGGGUAUUAAGAGAGGUGUACCUCUCAAAUUGUCAAGGUGGACUCCUCGACUGAUGGGGACCUCGAUUAACUAUUGUUUGCUUCUUCCCGAGCUCAUUUUCAUUCUUCUGAGCUCGUUUAUUCUUCUUCUUUCCAGACUUGUUCCUGUUCGACUCUCACCAAGCUAUCAUAGCUUUUUCUGCAUUUAAAUACUUCUCAGCAUAGGUGAGGAUCUUCGAAUAACUUUUUGAGGACCUCUUCUUGAGGAAAAAGAGGAACUGAGAUGUCUUUAGCUUGCGCUUCAAUGCGGACACGGCGAUAAAAUGAUUUAGGUCGUCAAAAUCAUCGCAUUAGAGCGGUUGAUGUAGUCACGAAUGGACUCCAUCCUAUUGAUUGAUGGCAAAUAGGUACUUCGAGACUUUUCUUUGUUGGCAGCUGCUGAUCAAGUGUGCGGCGAAUAGUCGGCCAAAUUGCUUAAAGGAGUGGAUCGAGUUUGGCUGUAGAAAAGGCUUGGCAAAGCACUGAGUUAGUGGCCUCUUGGAGCAUUGUGAGGGCUCUAAAACUUUUUAGAUGGUCUAGGGGAUCGGUAGUUCCAUCGUAGAUCUCUAGUUGGGACAUCUUGAAUCGAGGAGGAUGGGAUUCUUCCAUGAUCUUCGUUAAGAAUGAAGAGUCGGUUAUGAAGUCAACUUCGUCCUCGAGCUCGACGUUGCGGCCUCUUAAGGCCUUAAGACACUGAUCCAUCUCCUUGAA